rnacentral:rRNA from 1 species
GACGAACGCUGGCGGCGUGCUUAACACAUGCAAGUCGAGCGGUAAGGCCCUUUCGGGGGUACACGAGCGGCGAACGGGUGAGUAACACGUGGGUGACCUGCCCUCAGCUCUGGGAUAAGCCCGGGAAACUGGGUCUAAUACCGGAUAUGACUCCAUGACGCAUGUUGUGGGGUGGAAAGCCUUGUGCGGCUGAGGAUGGGCCCGCGGCCUAUCAGCUUGUUGGUGGGGUGAUGGCCACCAAGGCGACGACGGUAGCCGGCCUGAGAGGGCGACCGGCCACACUGGGACUGAGAUACGGCCCAGACUCCUACGGGAGGCAGCAGUGGGGAAUCUUGCGCAAUGGGCGAAAGCCUGACGCAGCGACGCCGCGUGA